UUGAACGCUGGCGGCAUGCUUUACACAUGCAAGUCGAACGGUAGCAGGCCUUCGGGUGCUGACGAGUGGCGAACGGGUGAGUAAUGCAUCGGAACGUGCCCAAUCGUGGGGGAUAACGUAGCGAAAGUUACGCUAAUACCGCAUACGCCCUGAGGGGGAAAGUGGGGGACCGCAAGGCCUCACGCGAAUGGAGCGGCCGAUGUCAGAUUAGCUAGUUGGUGGGGUAAAGGCCCACCAAGGCGACGAUCUGUAGCGGGUCUGAGAGGAUGAUCCGCCACACUGGGACUGAGACACGGCCCAGACUCCUACGGGAGGCAGCAGUGGGGAAUUUUGGACAAUGGGCGCAAGCCUGUUCCAGCCAUGCCGCGUGCGGGACGAAGGCCUUCGGGUUGUAAACCGCUUUCGGCAGGAACGAAACGGUGGAGGCUAAUACCUUUCAUCAAUGACGGUACCUGAAGAAGAAGCACCGGCUAACUACGU
rnacentral:rRNA from 1 species